AUUGAACGCUGGCGGCAGGCUUAACACAUGCAAGUCGAACGGUAACAGGAGAAAGCUUGCUUUCUUGCUGACGAGUGGCGGACGGGUGAGUAAUGCUUGGGAAUCUGGCUUAUGGAGGGGGAUAACGACGGGAAACUGUCGCUAAUACCGCGUAGAGUCGAGAGACGAAAGUGCGGGACCGCAAGGCCGCAUGCCAUGAGAUGAGCCCAAGUGGGAUUAGGUAGUUGGUGGGGUAAAGGCCUACCAAGCCGACGAUCUCUAGCUGGUCUGAGAGGAUGACCAGCCACACCGGGACUGAGACACGGCCCGGACUCCUACGGGAGGCAGCAGUGGGGAAUAUUGCGCAAUGGGGGCAACCCUGACGCAGCCAUGCCGCGUGAAUGAAGAAGGCCUUCGGGUUGUAAAGUUCUUUCGGUGACGAGGAAAGGCGUGAUGUUUAAUAGGCAUUCAACGA
rnacentral:rRNA from 1 species